CAAGCAUUUGAUGAACUAUUAGGUGGAAUUGAAACUCUAGCAAUCACAAAAGUCUUUGGGGAAUUUAGGUCUGGGAAAACACAGCUUGCACACACACUCUGCGUAACCACACAGGUUUGUCUCUCUCCUUGUUUGCAUACUGGAAAUCACACCAUCAUUGUGCAAAAUUAUGUUGUGGUCUUUCACUAAAAGUCUG